UUAAAUUGAAGAGUUUGAUCAUGGCUCAGAUUGAACGCUGGCGGCAGGCCUAACACAUGCAAGUCGAACGGUAACAGGAAGCAGCUUGCUGCUUUGCUGACGAGUGGCGGACGGGUGAGUAAUGUCUGGGAAACUGCCUGAUGGAGGGGGAUAACUACUGGAAACGGUGGCUAAUACCGCAUAACGUCGCAAGACCAAAGAGGGGGACCUUCGGGCCUCUUGCCAUCAGAUGUGCCCAGAUGGGAUUAGCUUGUUGGUGAGGUAACGGCUCACCAAGGCGACGAUCCCUAGCUGGUCUGAGAGGAUGACCAGCCACACUGGAACUGAGACACGGUCCAGACUCCUACGGGAGGCAGCAGUGGGGAAUAUUGCACAAUGGGCGCAAGCCUGAUGCAGCCAUGCCGCGUGUAUGAAGAAGGCCUUCGGGUUGUAAAGUACUUUCAGCGGGGAGGAAGGUGUUGUGGUUAAUAACCGCAGCAAUUGACGUUACCCGCAGAAGAAGCACCGGCUAACUCCGUGCCAGCAGCCGCGGUAAUACGGAGGGUGCAAGCGUUAAUCGGAAUUACUGGGCGUAAAGCGCACGCAGGCGGUCUGUCAAGUCGGAUGUGAAAUCCCCGGGCUCAACCUGGGAACUGCAUUCGAAACUGGCAGGCUUGAGUCUUGUAGAGGGGGGUAGAAUUCCAGGUGUAGCGGUGAAAUGCGUAGAGAUCUGGAGGAAUACCGGUGGCGAAGGCGGCCCCCUGGACAAAGACUGACGCUCAGGUGCGAAAGCGUGGGGAGCAAACAGGAUUAGAUACCCUGGUAGUCCACGCCGUAAACGAUGUCUACUUGGAGGUUGUGCCCUUGAGGCGUGGCUUUCGGAGCUAACGCGUUAAGUAGACCGCCUGGGGAGUACGGCCGCAAGGUUAAAACUCAAAUGAAUUGACGGGGGCCCGCACAAGCGGUGGAGCAUGUGGUUUAAUUCGAUGCAACGCGAAGAACCUUACCUGGUCUUGACAUCCACAGAACUUUCCAGAGAUGGAUUGGUGCCUUCGGGAACUGUGAGACAGGUGCUGCAUGGCUGUCGUCAGCUCGUGUUGUGAAAUGUUGGGUUAAGUCCCGCAACGAGCGCAACCCUUAUCCUUUGUUGCCAGCGGUCCGGCCGGGAACUCAAAGGAGACUGCCAGUGAUAAACUGGAGGAAGGUGGGGAUGACGUCAAGUCAUCAUGGCCCUUACGACCAGGGCUACACACGUGCUACAAUGGCGCAUACAAAGAGAAGCGACCUCGCGAGAGCAAGCGGACCUCAUAAAGUGCGUCGUAGUCCGGAUUGGAGUCUGCAACUCGACUCCAUGAAGUCGGAAUCGCUAGUAAUCGUGGAUCAGAAUGCCACGGUGAAUACGUUCCCGGGCCUUGUACACACCGCCCGUCACACCAUGGGAGUGGGUUGCAAAAGAAGUAGGUAGCUUAACCUUCGGGAGGGCGCUUACCACUUUGUGAUUCAUGACUGGGGUGAAGUCGUAACAAGGUAACCGUAGGGGAACCUGCGGUUGGAUCACCUCCUUACCUGAAAGAAGC
rnacentral:rRNA from 2 species